GUUUGAGCAACAACAACUGGACUUUGAGCAACUGUAUGAAGUGAAUACUACCUGAUGUGAAGGUCACAUGCCAAGGACAAGUGUUUGACAGUCACUUCAGUGAUAAGAGCGGCCUUCUACGCGACACCUGGACUCGGCAAAGGCAGUAGAAACAUCUCAGCACCGUGCACCUUACGGCAUCACUCCCUCUCACAUCGUCUGUUCCUCAGCCUCCCACCAACACCUGAUGCAUGUGAAUGACCCGUCACUGUUGUCCUUCAGACAUCAUCAUCAUCAUCGUCAAGACGCUGCCUCCCAUCAGGCGCACCCAUGCCUCGCACACAGUGACUCGCGUGUGUGUGUGUGUGUGGGAUGGGGGGGACACAUCGCAUGGAUGACUCACCCACCUUUCUGUUGUCCCUCAUCUGCUCUUUCCCAUUCUAACAACACGAGUGAGUCACUGAUCGGAUACUCCGGGUUCAGAUCCCCACUGUGUCUGAGUGAGCAGGAACACACUCAGUCAUUCAAGUUCACUGAAGGCCGAUGCCACAUCAGAAAAAUGCUGCACACUGAUGAUUAAAGUCCCAACCUUUUAAAUGUCGUCA